rnacentral:misc_RNA from 1 species
UUCCGGUCUAGGGGUAAGAUACUUGCCUCUAGAUUCGGCCAUCCGGGUUCGAUUCCCGGGCAAUGCACGUGGCAUUGCCGCUACCUGACCGCUUGGAACAGCGUGAGAGUUCCGGUUAGCACCUUGGUCCACUGGAUGUGGUGCUUAACCCUUGGCUUAACCCAAAACCAACCAACCAAACAACUACUGAAUAUUGAUUCAGUCUGGACCAAUCUGAAAAAUAACAAAAUAUUGCUGGGUGAAGACACAACUGCAUCAAGAAACUUUUCAACAAUGGCAUGCAAUAGCUAUUUGGCUCCUUCUCCAGAACAGUCUUUAGAAGCUGAGGCGGAAGAAGUUACAGAGCCACAAGAUGGUGAACUUAGAGAGGCCUCAAGAAAUGAGACCACCACUGAGAUGCAUUCAAAACCAAGAGGACAACUGGCCACUAUGAAACUCAAUGACACUAAGGCAGGAAUGGAAGGACUUGAUACUGACAAGAUAAAUCAGAUUAUUGAGGAGGCAUCGAGAGGUUCCAAGUUCUACAACCACAAGAAGCAACGGCAGGAGAAGAUCGACGAGCGGAUUCGGCGAAUGCUCGAGCUCAAAGAUUCGUUCACUCCUGAACAGAUUGCCCGAGCAGAGGCCCAGAUGGACGCGCUGACGGCCCACCUGGAGCAGUCACGUGACCUGAGCCGGUUCAUUGUGCACGUGGACAUGGACGCCUUCUACGCUGCCGUCGAAAUGCGAGACCGGCCCGAGCUAAGGGACGUACCGAUGGCUGUCGGCAGUAACAGUAUGCUGAGCACCUCCAACUACGCCGCACGAAAGUUCGGUGUGCGGGCCGCCAUGCCCGGCUUCAUCGGCCGCAAACUGUGCCCCCAGCUGGUGAUCGUGCCGUGUGACUUUGACAAGUACCGCGCCGCCAGCCAGCUGGUGCAGCAGGUGAUGGCCAGGUACGACCCGGACUUUUCGAUGGUGUCUCUGGACGAGGGCUACCUGGACAUCACGGACCGAGUGGCCACUGAGAUGGACGGAGACACUGGAGACCAGUCGGAGGACGAGGUGGCUCAGAGACUGGUCAGGGAGAUGCGGGCCGAGAUCUGCCGGCUGACGCGGCUCACCGCCAGCGCUGGUAUUGCCGCCAACGGCAUGCUGGCCAAAAUCUGCUCGGACCAAAACAAACCGGACGGCCAGUUCUUCCUGCCCCGCGAGCGGCGCGCCGUGCUCGACUUUCUGCGCGAGCUGCCCGUUCGGAAGGUAAGCGGCAUCGGCAACGUGUUAUCUCAGCAGCUGGCGGCGCUGGAGGUGACGCGCUGCGGGGAACUCCUCGAGCGCCGCGGCCUGGUGCGACUCUUGUUCUCUGAGUGUGCCCAGCUGAGUCUGCUGCGCGCCGGACUGGGUGCCGACCCGCCCGGGGUGGGGCGGGACGAGGACUCCCACCAGAAGUCUGUCAGCACGGAGACGACAUUCGCGGCUACCGCAGACCCCGCGCAGCUGUCUGAGCUGCUGGGAGAGCUGUGUCAGCAGCUGUCCGAAGACCUCCGCCGCAAGGGCCUGCGCGGGCGAACUGUCACGCUGAAACUCAAGACGAGUUCGUUUGUGGUGCGAUCACGAGCCACCACACUGGCCGAACCGACCUCAGCGGCGGCUGCGCUGCUCUCCGCCACCCGGCCGGCGCUGGCCCGCGAGCUGGCGGCAGGUGAACCUCUGCGGCUGCUCGGGGUGCGUGCGUCGGCCCUGGUGGCCGCUGAGGUUGCCGCCGGCCGACGCCAGGCCACCCUGACCGAGAUGACUGGCCGCGCCGCCGCGCCUCGACAUGAAUGUCCGGUCUGUGGACGAACUGCUGGGUCCCUGGCGGAGCUGUCUGCUCAUGUGGAGCAAUGUCUAGAUGGGGAGGCGGGCGGUGGGGGAGAGCAGAGUGAGGGACGGCCUACGGGGACGGAUGACUGUGCUGCUGAGAGCGAGAGUGGUAAUGGUGGAGCUAUAGAGACUUCUGGAGGUGAUGCUGCGGAGUGUGGGCCGACGAAGGAGGAAACUGUGCUGUCUGUAGGCUCACCUCAACCCUCCAGCUGUGAUAAUGUUUCUGAAGACCCUAUCAGUCACGCACCUGCGAAUGGAAUUAGUGAUCCCGCUGCAUGUGUGGGACCGUCAUCUGCCAGCGACGGGGAUCGACUUCAGUUGGGUAAUGUAGAGGAUACUACUCCGGCUUCUGCUGCAGAGACGGCCUGUGGCGGCCCCUCAGCGGCCUCGUGUCCUGUCUGUGGCCGCCCCAUGCCCGAGGAACUAGAGCUCAUCAACCGCCACCUGGAUGAGUGUCUGAACCAGAAGUUAUUGUCUCGGUUAACAGAUGGCGGGCCGGUCGGCGGCCAGAAGCGGCCGCCAGCACCGCACUCUGGAUUGCCUCGGACCAAACAUAAGCGGAUCGACUCGUUCUUUACUGCUGUCAAACGAUCGUGAUUAUGAAUGCGAGUGAAUGAAGCGGGCUUGCCUGAAAGAGUCGUUUUAGGCAGAUAUUGAGUGAUAGAUUGCGAGUUGUGUAGGUAUACCUAUGUUUGAUUCAGUUUAUGCUUGUAUUUGUUUAGGCGCUUGAUUCAUGCCUUACUCAUAACGGUAAUGUAUUUUUCAUACGCUUUAAAGUUUGUAGUCGUUGGCGUUUUGACGUGUGUCGUCAACAUUGCCUUUUGCUUCGUGAUAUCUGGCCUAAAUAUUAUGUUAUCGUCGACAUUUGACAGAGCUUGACUGUAACUUGCAAGCACCGAACUUGCGCUGUCAUUGGGUAGUUUUUGCUGAUAGGUUUAUUCUGCUGAAACCCUUUCGUAUUCAAGUGAUAUCUUUGAAGAAUACGAUACUGUGUAUUGCUGCUGGACUUGUAUGGCCAUUUGACAUGUCAAUAUUGUGUGGAAAAUACGAUGCAAUGAAGGUAAAUAAAGGAUAGAGGAUACCUGGAA